AAGAAUUGCGAAUGGUCAUCA
rnacentral:miRNA from 1 species